AGUGAACGCUGGCGGUAGGCCUAACACAUGCAAGUCGAACGGCAGCACAGUAAGAGCUUGCUCUUACGGGUGGCGAGUGGCGGACGGGUGAGGAAUACAUCGGAAUCUACUUUUUCGUGGGGGAUAACGUAGGGAAACUUACGCUAAUACCGCAUACGACCUACGGGUGAAAGCAGGGGAUCUUCGGACCUUGCGCGAUUGAAUGAGCCGAUGUCGGAUUAGCUAGUUGGCGGGGUAAAGGCCCACCAAGGCGACGAUCCGUAGCUGGUCUGAGAGGAUGAUCAGGCACGCUGGAACUGCGACACGGUCCAGACUCCUACGGGAGGCAGCAGUGGGGAAUAUUGGACAAUGAGCGCAAGCCUGAUCCAGCCAUACCGCGUGGGUGAAGAAGGCCUUCGGGUUGUAAAGCCCUUUUGUUGGGAAAGAAAAGCAGCAGGUUAAUACCCCGCUGUUCUGACGGUACCCCAAGAAUAAGCACCGGCUAACUUCGUG
rnacentral:rRNA from 1 species